GAGUCAUAAGAGUUGGUAUUAGGUCAAAGUUUGGUUUUUGUGACAUUUUAUUUAUCCAUUGAUUGACAAUAUGCAUUUUAGGAAAUCCGUAGGAUACUCCCAAUUCAUGCAUUAUUAGGAUGUGUUUGGAUUAAAAUUUUGGUGGGAGAAAAGGAAAAAAAAAAGAAAAACUUUAGAGGAUUCAAUAAUUCACGACAAUUGAAUUUUUUAAUUUUUUAAUAUUUUUUUUCCUCAGCUAACCCUUAGACUGUGUUUGGAUUUCGAAUUUGUUAAAAAAAAUAAUAUAAAAAUAAAAAAAAAAUUAGACAAUCUAACUGUUCAGG
rnacentral:lncRNA from 1 species